ACCCGCUGAAUUUAAGCAUAUCAGUAAGCGGAGGAAAAGAAACUAACCAGGAUUCUCCCAGUAACGGCGAGUGAACGGAGAUUAGCCCAUCACCGAAGCCCAUUCGUGUUUGCGAACAGGGCCAUGUGGUGUUAGGGUGUGUGCCUGGGGCUGCUGACCUAUUUGAAGUCCGACUUCGAUCACGGCUUGGAUGUGUCCCAUAGCGGGUGAAAGGCCCGUUCGGAUAGGUUCUGGCAUGCAGCGGCCCUCAGAUGCGCAUACCUACGAGUCGGAUUUUUUGAGAGGGCAAACCCGUAGUAAAUAAUACCCCCUGAAAUUAAUGCAAGGUGA
rnacentral:rRNA from 1 species